UACGUAUGGGGCAAGCGUUAUCCGGAUUUACUGGGUGUAAAGGGAGCGUAGGCGGCGGGGCAAGCCUGAUGUGAAAGCCCGGGGCUCAACCCCGGGACUGCAUUGGGAACUGCCCUGCUGGAGUGCCGGAGGGGCAGGCGGAAUUCCUAGUGUAGCGGUGAAAUGCGUAGAUAUUAGGAGGAACACCAGUGGCGAAGGCGGCCUGCUGAACGGUGACUGACGCUGAGGCUCGAAAGCGUGGGGAGCAAACAGG
rnacentral:rRNA from 1 species